rnacentral:rRNA from 1 species
AACGAACGCUGGCGGCGUGCCUAACACAUGCAAGUCGAGCGAGAAAGGGGAGCAAUCCCUGAGUAAAGCGGCGAACGGGUGAGUAACACGUAGGUAACCUACCUUUGAGACCGGGACAACCUGUCGAAAGACGGGCUAAUACCGGAUAAGACCACGUCCUCUUCGGAGGAUGAGGUAAAAGUUGGCCUCUGUAUACACGCUAACACUGAAAGAUGGGCCUGCGCACCAUUAGCGAGUUGGUAGGGUAACGGCCUACCAAGGCUACGAUGGUUAGCUGAUCUGAGAGGAUGAACAGCGACACUGGAACUGAGACACGGUCCAGACUCCGACGGGAGGCAGCAGUGGGGAAUUUUGCGCAAUGGGCGAAAGCCUGACGCAGCAACGCCGCGUGGGGGAUGAAGGCCUUCGGGUUGUAAACCCCUGUCGGAGGGAACGAAACCUUCCGGUGUGAAUAACGCCGGGACUUGACGGUACCCUCAAAGGAAGCACCGGCUAACCACGUGCCAGCCGCCGCGGUAAAAC